ensembl:lncRNA
UCCCACUGCCUCCUGUCACGGAGCUUGUUCCUUUGUGCCGCCUUUCGAGGAAUCAAAGCAGACACGGUUGUGACACGUAGCCCGGCGGGUCAGAGGUCAGCUUUCACAAUCCCAAUUACAAUGAUUUCUAAUGAUGUUUAUCUUGAGGGCUCCGACGGCCGCGAGCUUUACAAGAGGGCUCCUCUCUCCUCCCCGCCGCUCUCAGGGCUGCGGGCGCGGCGCUGCCCGGCUCCGCGUUCCCUCCGUCGAAGGGCGCAGCGGCUGCGGGGCGGCUCGGGAGGGUCCCCCCGCGGGUCCCGGGACGAUGAGAGCGGAGCUCCCGGUGUUGUACAGUGAACGUUAACACGCGCUGCACCUCUCCCUCCCCGUCGAGUCAGGUCCGAAGCGGCGCUAACUGCGCCCGAGCGGAGGUAGGAGCUCUGCUCGCCGAACCGGCGCUCACGUUUGGCUGUCCGGAGCCGCUAGAAGGUGGGGGUGGUGGGGCUGCAGGGACCCCCCAGGGCCGUGAGGUCUCGAAUUGGGCGGUGGGGGGCAGAGGCGGCUCCCGUCGGGGCUGCGGCAUCUCGGGGGUGACAGCGGUUCGAUCCCUUUUCAUUCCGUCUUACAACAACUAAACUGCGAGCGGACCGAAACGCGGCUCCACCGCUCCCGGUUCGAUCUCAAACCGUUCGGGGAAAGCUUUGCCGGGCGGCAAAGGGGUGAAAUUCGGAGCAAACAGUGGAGAGCUGUGAGUCGGGAAAACAAAUCCGUAACUUUUUACCGUCUGCCGGGUGCGGGGCACGGAGCGGCCUCGGGCGGCGCGUUGGGUGCACCUCUGUGCUCCUCAUCCAAUGCCUUAGAGAGAUUUAAGGUGAAUGUGGACGGGGUAACGCGGCUGUGCCCUACGGGGGUGGUGGUGGUGAUUCGGGAAUCGGGCUGUGCUGCGCACUGCAGUCCUUUGCUCCGGGAUCUGAUCCGUACUGCACCAGCUCAGGACCUUUGGCCAGAAAGGAUGAAGUGUAAGUCAACAAGUUCACUCUGCUGUGCUGGCUCUCAAGAUUCUCCUUAAUUUUCCUUCAGGUUGCCCAGAGGGAUGGUGGAAGCCCUAUUCCUGGAGACAUCCAAGGUCAGGCUGGAUGGGGUUCUAAGCACCUGAUGGAGCUGUGCACGUCCCUGCUCAUUGAAGGGGGGUUGGACCAGAUGGCCUUUAAGUGUCCCUUUCAACUCUAAGGAUUCUAUGAUUCUAUAAUUAAUUCCAAAAAUACUACAGGUUACUUUGAUUUCACUUGCAAUAUAUUUUGUUUCCACACAUGCCCUGUUUUUUUUCCAUAAAUGCUUGUCUAUAUAUUUAUAUACAUGUAUUCAUAUAUGUAUUAUGUCAUAUGUAAAGAUACUUCGGUAUUUAGAUGAUAACUCUGGACUGCCUCAUUUGUAAUCAGCACUCUAAUAAACUGGUACUGCUUGA